GGAUGAACGCUGGCGGCGUGCUUAACACAUGCAAGUCGAACGGAAAGGCUCCUGCUUGCAGGGGUACUCGAGUGGCGAACGGGUGAGUAACACGUGGGUGAUCUGCCCUGCACUUCGGGAUAAGCCUGGGAAACUGGGUCUAAUACCGGAUAGGACGAUGGUUUGGAUGCCAUUGUGGAAAGUUUUUUCGGUGUGGGAUGAGCUCGCGGCCUAUCAGCUUGUUGGUGGGGUAAUGGCCUACCAAGGCGUCGACGGGUAGCCGGCCUGAGAGGGUGUACGGCCACAUUGGGACUGAGAUACGGCCCAGACUCCUACGGGAGGCAGCAGUGGGGAAUAUUGCACAAUGGGCGCAAGCCUGAUGCAGCGACGCCGCGUGGGGGAUGACGGCCUUCGGGUUGUAAACUCCUUUCGCUAGGGACGAAGCGCAAGUGACGGUACCUGGAGAAGAAGCACCGGCUAACUACGUG
rnacentral:rRNA from 1 species